rnacentral:rRNA from 1 species
ACGGAAGGCAGCAGUGGGGAAUAUUGCGCAAUGGGGGAAACCCUGACGCAGCGACGCCGCGUGAGUGAUGAGUAUUUCGGUAUGUAAAGCUCUAUCAGCAGGGAAGAUAAUGACGGUGCCUGACUAAGAAGCACCGGCUAAAUACGUGCCAGCGGCCGCGGUAAUACGUAUGGCGCAAGCGUUAUCCGGAUUUACUGGGUGUAAAGGGAGCGUAGGCGGUUUGGCAAGCCAGGAGUGAAAACCCGUGGCUCAACCAGGAGGAUUGCUUUUGGAACUGUUGGACUAGAGUGCAGGAGGGGUAAGUGGAAUUCCCAGUGUAGCGGUGAAAUGCUUAGAUAUUGGGAGGAACACCAGUGGCGAAGGCGGCUUACUGGACUGUAACUGACGCUGAGGCUCGAAAGCGUGGGGAGCAAACAGGAUUAGAUACCCUGGUA